rnacentral:rRNA from 1 species
UACGUAGGAGGCGAGCGUUGUCCGGAAUUACUGGGUGUAAAGCGCGUGUAGGCGGCCUGCCAAGUCUGCUGUGAAAGCGCCUGGCUUAACCGGGCGAGGUCGGUGGAAACUGGCGGGCUGGAGGCCGGUAGAGGGGGGUGGAAUUCCCGGUGUAGUGGUGAAAUGCGUAGAUAUCGAGAGGAACACCUGCGGCGAAGGCGGGUUGCUGGGCUGACACUGACGCUGAGGCGCGAAAGCCAGGGGAGCGAACGGG